CCUACGGGAGGCAGCAGUGGGGAAUAUUGCACAAUGGGCGAAAGCCUGAUGCAGCGACGCCGGGUGGAGGAUGAAGGUCUUCGGAUCGUAAACUCCUGUCGAGUGGGACGAACGGCCCGGGGCCCAACACGCCCCGGGAGUGACGGUACCGCUAAAGGAAGCCCCGGCUAACUCCGUGCCAGCAGCCGCGGUAAU
rnacentral:rRNA from 1 species